rnacentral:rRNA from 1 species
UACGGAGGGUGCGAGCGUUGUCCGGAAUCACUGGGCGUAAAGGGCGCGUAGGCGGUUCGUUAAGUUGCUGGUGAAAUCCCGGGGCUCAACUCCGGGGCUGCCAGUAAGACUGGCGGGCUAGAGCACGGUAGAGGCGGAUGGAAUUCCCGGUGUAGCGGUGGAAUGCGUAGAUAUCGGGAAGAAUACCGGUGGCGAAGGCGUUCCGCUGGGCCGUUGCUGACGCUGAGGCGCGACAGCGUGGGGAGCAAACAGG